CUCUUAUAAAGGUGGUGAACCAUCUCCUAGACAGUGUGCAGUGGGCCAUCAGUGUGGAGGACCCUCGUUAGCUGGGAUUUUGGGCCUUCAGCAGGACCUCAUUUGGGAAAGGUGAUGAAGCCUAUGUUGAAUAUUCUGAAAGCUCUUCAACCCAAGGUGGGCCUCCUUGCACAACUGGCAGCCCACCACACUGAGAAGGAGGAGAGAGAGGAGAAGGUGGAGGACAAGCUUGAAGCAGAGCAACAGUGGGAGGAAGAAGAGGAGCUGCAGCAGAUAGAGGAGAUCAUUCAAAUUAAAUCCUCUCUGUAUUUGAGGAGCCCGUUGGCUUCAUCCAUGGACAGUGAACAACUAAGUGAGAAUGUUGAAGAACCAUCAGCAGCACUGGGAGCACAGAGAGCAAGUGAAUGCAGUUCUGCUGACACGUGCCAGGCCUGGGAUACAGAAGACUCUCCAUACACAUCUUAGGUAGAUAUCUUGUAAAACCUUCGGUAACAGAACCUCAGGAAGUUGGCUCACAAAAGUUGGAAACACUGUCUGAAGAUGCUGGAAAGAAAGAUCUUCCCAUACCAGAGGAAAUGGGGGUUGAUACAGGUAUGUAUGGGGAAGUGACACUGGCUAAGUUAGGUGAUAUCCUGUAGAUCAUGUGGGAAGUCUGUAAGUAAGCCAGGAAAGGACUAGGCCUCCUGAAUUCACAUUCAUUGAUCUACCCAGAGAUCAUCAUUGCUGCCCUAGGCUGUAUGUAGACAGCACAGGGGUUUAAUGCUCCCUAAAUUGAAGUGGUG